rnacentral:rRNA from 1 species
AUUGAACGCUGGCGGCAUGCCUUACACAUGCAAGUCGAACGGCAGCGGGGGAGAAGCUUGCUUUUCCUGCCGGCGAGUGGCGAACGGGUGAGUAAUACAUCGGAACGUGCCCUGUAGUGGGGGAUAACUAGUCGAAAGAUUAGCUAAUACCGCAUACGACCUGAGGGUGAAAGUGGGGGACCGCAAGGCCUUAUGCUAUGGGAACGGCCGAUGUCUGAUUAGCUAGUUGGUGGGGUAAAGGCCUACCAAGGCGACGAUCAGUAGCUGGUCUGAGAGGACGAUCAGCCACACUGGGACUGAGACACGGCCCAGACUCCUACGGGAGGCAGCAGUGGGGAAUUUUGGACAAUGGGCGAAAGCCUGAUCCAGCAAUGCCGCGUGUGUGAAGAAGGCCUUCGGGUUGUAAAGCACUUUUGUCCGGAAAGAAAUGGCUCUGGUUAAUACCUGGGGUCGAUGACGGUACCGGAAGAAUAAGGACCGGCUAACUACGUGCCAGCCGCCGCGGUAA